rnacentral:rRNA from 1 species
AUUGAACGCUGGCGGCAUGCCUUACACAUGCAAGUCGAACGGCAGCACGGGUGCUUGCACCUGGUGGCGGGUGGCGAACGGGUGAGUAAUACAUCGGAACGUACCUUAUCGUGGGGGAUAACGCAGCGAAAGCUGUGCUAAUACCGCAUACGCCCUGAGGGGGAAAGCGGGGGAUCGCAAGACCUCGCGCGAUUAGAGCGGCCGAUGCCUGAUUAGCUUGUUGGUGGGGUAAAAGCCCACCAAGGCGACGAUCAGUAGCUGGUCUGAGAGGACGAUCAGCCACACUGGGACUGAGACACGGCCCAGACUCCUACGGGAGGCAGCAGUGGGGAAUUUUGGACAAUGGGGGCAACCCUGAUCCAGCAAUGCCGCGUGAGUGAAGAAGGCUUUCGGGUUGUAAAGCUCUUUUGUCAGGGAAGAAACACCGGCUCUAACACAGUCCGGGAAUGACGGUACCUGAAGAAUAAGCACCGGCUAACUACGUGCCAGCCGCCGCGGUAA